rnacentral:rRNA from 1 species
GAUGAACGCUGGCGGCGUGCUUAACACAUGCAAGUCGAACGGAAAGGCUCCUGCUUGCAGGGGUACUCGAGUGGCGAACGGGUGAGUAACACGUGGGUGAUCUGCCCUGCACUUCGGGAUAAGCCUGGGAAACUGGGUCUAAUACCGGAUAGGACGAUGGUUUGGAUGCCAUUGUGGAAAGUUUUUCGGUGUGGGAUGAGCUCGCGGCCUAUCAGCUUGUUGGUGGGGUAAUGGCCUACCAAGGCGUCGACGGGUAGCCGGCCUGAGAGGGUGUACGGCCACAUUGGGACUGAGAUACGGCCCAGACUCCUACGGGAGGCAGCAGUGGGGAAUAUUGCACAAUGGGCGCAAGCCUGAUGCAGCGACGCCGCGUGGGGGAUGACGGCCUUCGGGUUGUAAACUCCUUUCGCUAGGGACGAAGCGAAAGUGACGGUACCUGGAGAAGAAGCACCGGCUAACUACGU